rnacentral:lncRNA from 1 species
AUUUUCUCAUUCUAUAAUCAUUUCAGUGAUUAUUAUUGCUUUAUUAUUUGCUGUGCAGAAGACUUUCAAAUUCAUGUCAUCUCAUUUGUUGAUUCUUGGAAUUUCUUCUUGUGUUAUUGAGUCUUUCAAAAAGUUCUUACCUACUGUUCUACCUUUGUGCUGCUCUAGUGGCUUCCGGUCUUUAGGUCUGUCUCUAACAGUCCAGUACGUUUUUUUUUUUCUGAGACAGGGUUUCUCUCUGUAGUCCUGGCUGUCCUGGAACUCACUUUGUAGACCAGGCUGCCCUUGAACUCAGAAAUCUGCCUGCCUCUGCCUCCCGAGUCCUGGGAUUAAAGGCAUGCACCACCACGCCCGGCUAGUCCAGUACGUUUUUUUGUUUGUUUGUUUGUCUUUUUGAUAUGCUGGUUUUUUUAUUACGUAUUUUCCUCAAUUACAUUUCCAAUGCUAGCCCAAAAGUCCCCAGUACGUUUUGAACUGGUUUUUUGGAAGCUGUCAGGUACAGAUGGAGUCUCACUCUUCUACAGAGACAAUCCGGAUCUCCCAGCGUCCUUAGUCAAGACAGCAUCAUUACAUCUCACAAUGUUGGCCUUUCUACCUCAAUUACAGUCUCUUCACUUACAAAUACAUUUAAACAUCCUUUCUUUAAUUUUACACUUUAGAGCUUACCUUAAAAUUGCCAUAGAUUUUUGUUGUUGUUGUUUGCUUUUGAGACAGAGUCGUUUUUUCUUUUUUGGCUUUUCGAGACAAAAAAAAAAUCUGUUUCUCUGUAUAGCCCUGGCUGUCCUGAAACUCACUCUGUGGACCAGGCUGGCCUCGAACUCAGAAAUCUGCCUGCCUCUGCCUCCCAAGUGCUGGGAUUAAAGGCGUGCGCCACCACCACCCGGCUGAGACGGAGUCUUUACAUAGCCCUUUCUGUCCUGGAACUCACUAUGUAGACCACGUAGGCAUCAACCUCACAGAGAUCCACCUGCCUCCAUCCCCUAAGUGCUGGGUUUUAAAGUGUGGGCCACUAGGCCUAGCUUGCUAUAGUCUUAUAAAACUUUAAUUGGUUGUUUCUUUUUAAGAAAUAUGUUUUUAAUUGAAAUAGAAUCACCUCUCCUUUUCCUCUCUUCAAUUCUACCCAUGUUUCUUCCACUCUCGAUAGUCUCCUUUUUUAAAUUAUUUUUGUUACAUGUGUCCAUAUGUAUAUGCGUGCACACACACACACACACAAACACAUACACACAUAUAACUAUGACACCGAGUAUGUUUUGUUGUUAGUGUGUAUGUUGUGUCAGGGCUGAUCACUAUGCACUAGACAACCAGUAAGAGGGCUGGUCCCUGGGAGAGCUUAACUCUCCUCCCAGAAGUCAUUAGUUGCCUGUAACUCUUUGUCUAGGAGUGGGAUCCUGUGAGAAAUGUUCUCUUCCAGUCUUACUUAUGCAACCAUUUCCAUGAAAGCUUGUUUCACAGUAGACUUCCUGGUAUUCUGACUUUUACAGUCUUUCAGGCUCCUGACCCACAACAAUAUUCCUUGAACCACAGACGCAGGAGCUGUAAUCUACAGAGGCAUCUAUUAGGACUGGGCUCCUAAUGACCCAUUGAUCUCUGUAUUGUGUCCGGCUGUGGUUUGCUGUGGAGGACUCCAUUUGCUGCAAAGACAGGCUUCUUUGAUGAGGGGUGGGAGCUGCACUUAUCUGUGGGCGUAAGGACAAGAUUAAGAGUGAAUUACACCCUUACACUUAGCUGCCGCAGCAAAGUGGCAGUGGUAGAUUCUUUUCUAAGGCCCAAUGACCACACUAGCCCCGGGAAGCUAGGGAAUCUAAAUGAGCUAGGGAAUAUAAACAGAGAUCUGAAAAGAAUAAAUAAAAAUGGUUAAGAAUUAACUCAAAAAGUGGUCAUCAUUCUCGCAAUUAGGGAAAUAUAAAUUAAAAAAAAAUCCAGGCCUGAUUUCUCUCCUGUUGAGUAUGCCUUUAAGUUGUAUUAGACAGCUGUUGAGUACCGCUGACAUGUGAGUGUCACAGCGCUUUAUGGAUACCUUGUCAUGCUGGGCAUUGCUGGGGUUUGUAGGGAUUCUGGCUGGAUUGAGCUGUUUAAGUACUCCCUUGGUAACUUGCCUAGUAUUUUCUGGUACCAUAGAAGCUAGACCAUGGGAAAGAGGCUUUCAGGUUAGAUCCAGCUUAAAUCAUCCGAGUCCUGGGGACCAAGUGUGUGGCACCUUCAGCAGUACGCCACCAACCAAGCUUCCCAGAGGUAGCGUCUAUAUUGUUUUGGGAAGGCCUUGAAUUACCCUGACCAACCACUCGAAAGGAGGUUUGUCAUGCCUGGUACGGGGACCUUCUGAACAGGACUUUGCCAGAGAAUUAAGGUCAGUGAUUGACAACCGGGACUUCGAAAACCUAAAAAGCUUCUGUACAGCUAAGGGAAUGGUCAAGGUCAGCUGUGUGGGGAAGACAGCCAGCGGAGUAGGAGAGAGUCCUUGGCAGCUGGACAUAUGACAGAGGGUUAAUAUCAACAGAGAGACAGAGAGAGAGGGGGAGGGGGAGGGGGUGGGAGAGGGAGAGAGGGUGGGAGAGGGAGAGGGGGUGGGAGAGGGAGAGGGGGUGGGAGAGGGAGAGGGGGAGGGGAGGGGUGGGGGAGGGGGGAGGGAGAGAGAGAAUGUUUAUGUGUUAAAGAGUCAAAUGACCCAAUUAAUAAAUAGGAUAAGGAAUCUAAACCAAUUUUCAAUAGAGUAAAUAAAGAUGGUUAAGAAAUACCUCAAAAAGAAUUCAUCUGUUUGUCACAAUUAGAAAAAUGGAAAUGGAAAUGGUUUUGAGAGGUCAUCUCAUCCUGGUCAGAACAACUAAGGUCAACAGAACAACUGGCAAGCGAUGCAGCUGAGUCUGUGAGGAAGGAGCCUCGCCCCCUGUGAGGAAGGAGCCUCGCUCACUGUUGGGGGGUUUAAACUAGUGCAGUCACUCUGAUAAUCAACAUGGAGAAUCCUCAAAGAAUAUAUCUACAUAAGACCCACCUAGACCAUUCCUUGUCACAUGCUCCAAAAGAACUCCACAUCUUACUCCACAGACACUUGCUCAGCCGUGGUCAUAGCUGCUCUAUUCACAAUAGCCAAGACAUGGAAACACCCUAAAUAUCCUUCAGCAGGGAAGAUGCUGCAGUUCUUCCUGCCGCUCCCUCCUAGGCAACAGUGGGGAACAUCUAGCCUUGCAUCUGUGAACCCAGUGAGGCACUUCCCAAAGUCGGACUUCCUGGUCUAGUGGGGUUUUCCGGACUCUUUCUGGCCUCCAAAGCCCAGGAGACUUACCAUUUUGUAAGGUGAGGAAGGCACAGGGCCCAAACUUCUGCUCUCAGCAGCCUGACACCCUGCGCACCUUUCUUUGCAGACUUGAGCAUAAGUUGCCUUUCACGGGAUUUUUGGAAUUUCUUUUAUUAUCUUGCCAAUUGUGGUAGCAAGGAACUAAAAAGACCUCAUUUGCUUUAUCAAAUGGGUAUUUUUUUCCCAGAUGUUACCAUGGGGUGGGCAUGGGUCAUGUGGAGACAGUUCCUUGUGCGCUGAGGUCCCCUCAGGUGUCUGAGAGCUGUCACAUUACUUAUUGGCAAGCAAGCUAGAAGGUGUCCACAGGAGCUCAUAGAACCGAAAUGUCCCAGCCCUGAGAGGUUUCCAGAGAGUCUAGGGGCCUCACUUCUCAUCCUUUCCCAUCCUCUCUCCAGGAGUUUGUCGCCACUCCCUGUUUUGGCUGCGCUCCCUAUGGUAACCAGCUGUGCUGUGGGAAGACAUGAGAGACUGGUUCCGGUCCAGGCCCUUCCACUGGCUCAGUCCCAGACUUGAGAGGCGAGGUUCAUCUUUCCUACUGCCUUAGCUGAGGAGGUGUGGGUACAUAAUGAAAAAAAAAAAUCAGAUGCUCAGUUACAGAGGGCUCAUGUGGUAGUCAGUCACUCUCUAAUCCGGGGAGAAGCAUGGGGCUCUCCCCGCCAUGUCUCAUUCAUUCCUGUCCAGGACCACUCCUGGGGACACCACAGAGAAGUGGUUGAUGGUGGUCAUCUCUUAUCUCCACUCACAUUCUUGUCUCAUCCUCCCUCCGUGGCAAACACUGGGACGUGUUCAAAUAGGACAAGCAUCGUUAUUAGCUCGGGAUAACAGCCUUAAAUGCUUUAGACAGCUAAAAGGUUGCUACAUGGGAUUUGACUGUUCAAAUAGAACAGGCUUGAGCUCUCAGGGGGAUGCUAGACAAGAGCCCUUACUGCUCUCAGAAACCAGGAGAGUGGUGCUUCAGGGGUCAACUGAGAGCACUCCCUGGCAGGGCGAGACCCUGGGAAAGCAGCUCACCAAGGGGAGCAGCUGAAGUCUGCAGGGUUGGGAGCAGCAGCAGGAAGGCGUUCCCAUCCGCAGCCCACGUUUUAGGGACUGAAGCAGAAAUGAGUCGCCCUGCUUGAAACUAAGCUUCUGCGGCUGGCUAUAGCGAGCUCUUUCUGCAGAGAGGAAAGGCUAGGCAAAAGCCUGGUGUGCAGGGAGCCUCUGCUGAGACCAUCUCCAGUGAGUCUCGAAUGCAGUCUUCCUUCUCUUAAUUUUGUUUCAGGACAA